CUUGCACAUAACCCAUGGAACUCCAGUAUUCAUAGAAAGAGCCAUCUGUGCAGCCCAAGUCAUAUAUGCAUGACCAGCAGAUCCAAAUGCCUUGUCUUCAGGUUCAUAUUCAUUCUCAAUCUGAGAGAGGAUAAUAGGACCACCUUGAGACUGAAACAAAUUUUCAUCCUUCAUAAUUUGGACAAUUUUCUGGGUGAAAUUUUGCAUUGCCAUCUUGAAAGGCUCAUUAUCUGUCCUGAAGCUUAUGCCUGGAACAUACUUCAACCACACUGGAAACCCUCCAAAAUUCCACUCUCCACAUAUAUAAGGUCCAAUGCGAAGAUGAACAUAGAGACCAGCUUUCUGAACCAACUUGACGAAGCGAACCAAAUCAUACCUUCCCUCGAAAUUGUAAUUGCCAGGAGAAGGCUCAUGAAGAUUCCAAAAAACAUAAGUAUCUAUAAUAUCCAAACCACCAUCUUUAGCCUUCUGUAUGAGUCCUCCCCACAUCUGAGGAGUGCUUCUGGGAUAGUGAAUAGAGCCAGAGAAGAGAAUUCUCCUCUGGCCAUCAAUGAUAAGAGCCUUGUUAUCAUAAGUAACAUCGCAUUGUAUCCCCUGGAAACCUAGAGAUAACAACACCACAAUACACAGAGAAAACCACUUGAUUGCUGCUGAGUUAGCUUCCAUAUUUUCUCUUCAGAUAGACAAGACAAAAAAAAUGAUUAUUAUAAUAUUAGAGAAAAGCAACAAGAAGACAAAGAAGGUAGGUUACAUAUAGUGUAUGCUAAUCCCACGUCAAAACACACUACAUUUCUAGCUCUUACUGUGUCCUGUUAGAAAACAAAUUGUACAUCCGUCUCCAAGCUUUACUUUCAUUUUAUACUCCUAUUAGAAUUCAAACUCAAAACCUUCUAUGCUAAUUGAUCACGUUUAUUGCCCAUAUCAUAAAAAA
rnacentral:misc_RNA from 1 species